rnacentral:rRNA from 1 species
GUGGGGAAUAUUGGACAAUGGGCGAAAGCCUGAUCCAGCCAUGCCGCGUGUGUGAAGAAGGUCUUCGGAUUGUAAAGCACUUUAAGUUGGGAGGAAGGGCAGUAAGUUAAUACCUUGCUGUUUUGACGUUACCAACAGAAUAAGCACCGGCUAACUUCGUGCCAGCAGCCGCGGUAAUACGAAGGGUGCAAGCGUUAAUCGGAUUUACUGGGCGUAAAUCGCGCGUAGGUGGUUCAGCAAGUUGGAGGUGAAAUCCCCGGGCUCAACCUGGGAACUGCCUCCAAAACUACUGAGCUAGAGUACGGUAGAGGGUAGUGGAAUUUCCUGUGUAGCGGUGAAAUGCGUAGAUAUAGGAAGGAACACCAGUGGCGAAGGCGACUACCUGGACUGAUACUGACACUGAGGUACGAAAGCAUGGGGAGCAAACAGGAUUAGAUACCCCAGUAGUCC